GACGAACGCUGGCGGCGUGCCUAACACAUGCAAGUCGAGCGGGAUCCAUCCGGUGGCAACACCGGUGAAGAUCUAGCGGCGAACGGGUGAGUAACACGUGAGAAACCUGCCCCGAACUUCGGGAUAACACGGGGAAACCCGUGCUAAUACCGAAUACCCUCUACCGGUAGCAUGGCCGGAAGCGGAAGGAUUCAUCGGUUCGGGAGGGUCUCGCGGCCUAUCAGCUAGUUGGCGGGGUAACGGCCCACCAAGGCAUCGACGGGUAGCUGGUCUGAGAGGACGAUCAGCCACACUGGGACUGAGACACGGCCCAGACUCCUACGGGAGGCAGCAGUGGGGAAUCUUGCGCAAUGGGCGAAAGCCUGACGCAGCAACGCCGCGUGCGGGAUGAAGGCCUUCGGGUUGUAAACCGCUUUCAGCAGGGAAGAAAAUGACGGUACCUGCAGAAGAAGCCCCGGCCAACUACGUGCCAGCAGCCGCCGCGG
rnacentral:rRNA from 1 species